rnacentral:misc_RNA from 1 species
GAUGAAGAACGUAGCGAAAUGCGAUAAGUAAUGUGAAUUGCAGAAUUCAGUGAAUCAUCGAAUCUUUGAACGCACAUUGCGCCCCUUGGUAUUCCGAGGGGCAUGCCUGUUCGAGCGUCAUUAUAACCCCUCAAGCUCAGCUUGGUGUUGGGGCCUGCUGCACUGGCAGCCCUUAAGAUCAGUGGCGGCGCCAUCUGGCUCUAAGCGUAGUAAUUCUUCUCGCUAUGGAGUCCUGGUGGAUGCUUGCCAUCAACCCCCAAUUUUUCUAUGGUUGACCUCGGAUUAGGUAGGGAUACCCGCUGAACUUAAGCAUAUCAAUAAGCGGAGGA